rnacentral:lncRNA from 1 species
GGGUCAAGGCGUGACAGAGUGGCAUUAGAGCUUAGGUUAAAAUCACUAGAGACUUGAAGUAUAUAGUAGAAAUGAAUUCAAAGCUAGGAUUUAAGCUCAUUAGGCAUUGUGAUAAAAAUCUAUGCAUAAGUUGGCAUAUGAUGAGUACAAAAAGGUUAAAUAAUUUAUCUUUCCUAAUCAAGAUAAGUGGAGUCAAUUUAAUAGUAAGAGAUGUUGACCUUGGAAUAUAGUUUGC